rnacentral:rRNA from 1 species
UACGUAGGGUGCGAGCGUUAAUCGGAAUUACUGGGCGUAAAGCGUGCGUAGGCGGUUUUGUAAGACCGAUGUGAAAUCCCCGGGCUUAACCUGGGAACUGCAUUGGUGACUGCAAGGCUUGAGUACGGCAGAGGGGGAUGGAACUCCGCGUGUAGCAGUGAAAUGCGUAGAUAUGCGGAAGAACACCAAUGGCGAAGGCAGUCCCCUGGGCCUGUACUGACGCUCAUGCACGAAAGCGUGGGGAGCAAACAGG